AAACGGGAAUUUGUGAAAUACUGGAGAUCAGGGCUUGCAAAUUGAAGCAACGAAUAUGAACAAAAGGGUUUCACCGACGACACGACCUGCCACUCGUAUAUCAAAACUGUAUCGUAAAUUUAAGUACCCCUCAGUAACUGGAAAUGUCAAAUCGAAAACGCUAGUGAAUUUUUUUAAACUGGCAGCACAAGUUGAUAUAUUUAUUGAUUUUGAAUGACAGUCGCCAUAACCUUGGUUACUGCAUAUCGAAGGCAAGAUGAAUGUGAACAAAAUAAAUUUCUGAUAGGUCAUUAUAUUACGGAACAUUUUAAUGGAUUUACCUGACUCGAGCGGAAUGUCUUGACUUGAAACCGUUGUGUGAGAAGGAAGACAUGGAAAUGACCGACAACGAGCUGAGCGAGGCUAGUGCUUUGCGGUACCUGCAUAACGUACGGUAAAAUGAUUUCUUUGCGGAAUUCCCCUAGUAAUCCUCGAAUAGUGGCCAACAAGGUGAAAUACUGUUUCCACUGCUGCGCAGUCAACCGACACAACACAAUUUUGACAUCGGCAUGUUACACCGAAUCCUACUACCCAGAAAAGCUAGCAGUUGAAGUGUACACUGAGCUAAAUUUUCUUUUUCACAUUAUAUGAUAUUCUAAUGAUUUUGCACUAUUAGCAUUUCCAAUAAUAGUUACAAGAUGUGUUCAACAUCAUGUCAAAUAUAUGAGAUAAUCUUAUGAAACAUAA